rnacentral:lncRNA from 1 species
GAAAAGCAUACAAAUUGAUUUGAUAUGUGUUUUGUAUGACUUGAGAGCGUUCGUAAGAAAAUGAAGACCCAAGGAAAUAAUUAUAGUUGUUUAUUUUUAUGCUUAGGUUUGAUGAAGAGUAGAAAAUCAUGGAGAAAUUUGAUUGGAUGAAGGGCAUGUGAUCUAAUGGAGUAAACUGGAGAAAACUCAGCAAGGCUUGUUGGUUCCGAUUCUCCUCUGUGACCCUUUGUCUUCAGAGGUAAGAACUUUCUUUUUAUUGGGGUAUAAGGAGGCACCUUUCACCUGACGGUCUUACAUUCUGCUUCAGGGUGAAGUCAGAAAAUCCUCUCUAGAUUUUAUGACCUGCUUCAGGGGACAAGGGAUGAGGAGAAGGUGAGACUAACCUUUCUGCUUCUGCUAUUUUCUCAAAUGCCAAGGCACCAUAUUUUAGGACGGCAAGUCCUAAACCCCAUCAGUAAGAAGUGUGAUAAGAUGAAUUGUCACCAAGGAAUGCUGCGGGAAGAGGAGCCCACAAUUAUUAUUCCUUCAGGAGGGGGUGACUGCAUCUAUGAGGAGGCAGGUGGCCCAAGGGCAUGCCAGGUUUGGAAUGAGGAAGAAUCACACUGUGUGCAAUUUGUUGCCUUUGGCCUUGCUGUCAUGUCAGCACACUUCAGCAGGAAUAGAACGCAGCCAGUAACGGCCACCAUGUACUGUACCUCUCAGUUAAAGCCAGUGUGGACAGCAACCAGUGGCCAGGAAAGUGAUUCAAGUUCAAAGAGGAAUUAGAAUGGAGCUAUAAGAGUAAGAUGAGAAAUGACAAAUAGCAACAAGAAGAAGAGUAAUAAUAAAUCUAUAGGAUCUUAGGGCUAUGUUUGAAGAAUGAACCCGUAUGAAAAAUAUUCAAUUAUGAUGAGAACGCAACUGAGAAAAACUUCUUGGAUUUGAAGUGGUUGUACAGGACUACAGACAAGUGAUCUGAUGUCCUACAAAACUACCACUCAACAUGAGUCCUUCCCAGCAUCCUGUCUGGAGGUGGGUGCCCAGACAUGAUGCUGAGUGGUGUGGUGUCCGGAGAGUUCAAUGCCAUCUGUGACAGUUACUUUAAGUGUUAACUCGACUGGGCCAGGAGACCCAGAUAGCUGGUUAACCUUUAUACCUGAAUGUGUCUGCGAGGGUGUUUCUAGAAGAGAUUGGCAUUUGAAUCAGUGGACUGAAUAAAAUAAAUGACCCUUUCCAAUAUGGGUGGGACUCAUCCAAGCAGUUGAGAGCCUGAAAAGAACAAUAAGGCAAAGGAAGUUUACAUUCUUUACCUGACUGCUUGAAUUGAGACAUCAGUCUUAUGUCCUUGGACUGUGACCCGCACCAUUGGCAAUCCUGGUUCUCAGGCCUUUGGACUUGGACUAGAAUUUACACCACUG